rnacentral:misc_RNA from 1 species
UUGAUAAGCGUGAGGUCGGAGGUUCAAGUCCUCCCAGUCCCACCAAUUUACCUAUCCAUUUGCCUUUAUCUGUUUAUUUGCCGAUUUAUCGGUCCAUUGAAUUUAAGUGUUGGUAGCAGUUUUAUAAUGAUGAGAAAUCAUGCUUAUAAAAGAACUCCUUAUAAAAGGCUUGUUUUUAAAAUGUGACGCUUAUCCAUUUCGCUUAGGCAAGAGAAACUUCAAGCGGUUCAAAUACAAAAGGCUUUAAGUUUUGCAAAACACUUUGAAUUUUGCAAAACACUUUGAAUUUUGCAAAACACUUUGAAUUUUAAAGUGAUCCAAGUUCGUGAUCUCGAAUUUAAAAGUUUCGAAUGCUUUAUCCUUUUUUGGGGGCCGUAGCUCAGCUGGGA